GGGGGUGAACGGUUUCGACUCCUGAAGCAGACCAAGGGGAAGCGUGCCGAGGAAGGCAACGAUGAGCUCGUUAACCACGCGUUGCACACCAAUAAGUGCCGCUGAUAAGCGCACUGCCAACGAUUUCGCCCUCGCGGCCUGAUCUGAUUGGCUGUCGGCCCGGGGGCGUCUCCGCCCCGGAGUCCGGCAUCAGCUAGGAGACUUCACCCGGCGGUUCGGUCGCGGAGGCGCCGGGGACAUCCAACAGCGACUGGGAUCGUCACACCGGCUCGUCCGCAUGACCGGUGGGUCCGAGUAGAGGCAUCGCGGACUGCGCACGGAGAAGCCCUUGAGAAGCGAGGGAGGACCCGGGUUCGAUUCCCGGCACCUCCACUG
rnacentral:tmRNA from 1 species